CCUACGGGAGGCAGCAGUGAGGAAUAUUGGUCAAUGGACGAGAGUCUGAACCAGCCAAGUAGCGUGAAGGAUGACUGCCCUAUGGGUUGUAAACUUCUUUUAUAUGGGAAUAAAAUGUUCCACGUGUGGGAUUUUGUAUGUACCAUAUGAAUAAGGAUCGGCUAAAUCCGUUCCAGCAGCCGCGGUAAUACGGAGGAUCCGAGCGUUAUCCGGAUUUAUUGGGUUUAAAGGGAGCGUAGGUGGAUUUUUAAGUCAGUUGUGAAAGUUUGCGGCUCAACCGUAAAAUUGCAGUUGAAACUGGCAGUCUUGAGUACAGUAGAGGUGGGCGGAAUUCGUGGUGUAGCGGUGAAAUGCUUAGAUAUCACGAAGAACUCCGAUUGCGAAGGCAGUUCACUGGACUGCAACUGACACUGAGGCUCGAAAGUGUGGGUAUCAAACAGGAUUAGAUACCCGAGUAGUC
rnacentral:rRNA from 1 species